rnacentral:rRNA from 1 species
GAUGAACGCUAGCGGCAGGCUUAAUACAUGCAAGUCAAGGGGGUAGCAAUACAACCGGCGCACGGGUGAGUAACACGUACACAACAUACCAUAUACUGAGGUAUAGCUUCGGGAAACUGAAGGUAAUCCCUCAUAGUAUUGUGAAAGGGCAUCUUUUUACAAUUAAAGUUUCGACGGUAUAUGAUUGGUGUGCGUUUGAUUAGCUAGUUGGUAGGGUAACGGCCUACCAAGGCAACGAUCAAUAGCUGGCGUGAGAGCGCGACCAGCCACACUGGAACUGAGACACGGCCCAGACUCCUACGGGAGGCAGCAGUAGGGAAUAUUGGACAAUGGGGGGAACCCGUGAUCCAGCCAUGCCGCGUGAGGGAAGAAGGUCCUCUGGAUUGUAAACCUCUUUUGGCAGGAAACAAACCUGCGCUAUACGCGCAGCUGAGGGUACCUGCAGAAUAAGCACCGGCUAACUCCGUG